rnacentral:misc_RNA from 1 species
UACGUAGGGCGCAAGCGUUGUCCGGAGUUACUGGGCGUAAAGGGCUCGUAGGCGGUUUGUCGCGUCGGCUGUGAAAGCCCGAGGCUCAACCUCGGAACGGCAGCCGAUACGGGCAGACUAGAGGACGGUAGGGGCAAGUGGAAUUCCCGGUGUAGCGGUGAAAUGCGCAGAUAUCGGGAGGAACACCACUGGCGAAGGCAGCUUGCUGGGCCGUUCCUGACGCUGAGGAGCGAAAGCGUGGGUAGCGAACAGG